rnacentral:rRNA from 1 species
CCUACGGGAGGCAGCAGUGGGGAAUAUUGCACAAUGGGCGAAACCCUGAUGCAGCGACGCCGCGUGAGUGAAGAAGUAAUUCGUUACGUAAAGCUCUAUCAGCAGGGAAGAAAAUGACGGUACCUGAGUACGAAGCCCCGGCUAACUACGUGCAAGCAGCCGCGGUAAUACGUAGGGGGGAAGCGUUAUCCGGAUUUACUGGGUGGGAAGGGAGCGUAGACGGUGCGCCAAGUCUGGAGGGAAAUGCCGCAGCUUAACUGCGGAACUGCUGUGGAUACUGGCGAACUAGAGUGCGGGAGGGGUAAGCGGAAUGCCUAGUGUAGCGGUGAAAUGCGGAGAUAUUAGGAGGAACACCGGUGGCGAAGGCGGCUUACUGGACCGUAACUGACGUUGAGGCUCGAAAGCGUGGGGAGCAAACAGGAUUAGAUACCCCAGUAGUC